CACUGAAAAUGUCUAGAUGGGCCUUAUAGCCCCAUCAACA
rnacentral:tRNA from 1 species